AACAGAGAAGCGUUUAACCACUGGACCGAGUGUAGCUUGUAGUCCGUACCCGUCGCCACGCCCGGCUUUCUGACCGCGUAAAGAGCGGAAUAAUUGUCGACG
rnacentral:sRNA from 1 species